rnacentral:lncRNA from 1 species
AUGCCUGGCUGCGGCCCGCAGCUAUCAAGAGCUGAUGGGCGGAUUAGCCGUGGGCACCCGGAGCCGGAGCCGGGGCGCUGGAACCAACAGCGGCAGCCCAGGGAAACCGGGGUCCGGCCACCACCCCGGUGUGGGGGGAGGGGGGAAGCAGGCGGAGGAGGACCAGCUGGCACACCGUCUCUGGGACCACGAACCCAGCCCCCGCGAGGGCCUCCCUGGCCCCGCGACCCACAGAAAGCCUGGUUCUGGGUGCGCUGGGUUCCCCCGCCUGACUCCCGCCUGGGCAGAAAGGGGCUGAAGAUGGGGAACCCGGGGGCCGGUGGGGCCCGCCAGGUUCCAGGAAGGCAGGGGCCGGGGCACAGUAGGUUCGCGUGGCCACGUGGCCAGGGCGUCUGUCACCUCACUCCCCGGCCCACCGCAGCAGUCCCGUCUCUGGAGGCCACGGGGUGGGAGCGGGUGAGCCCCGGCCUGGAGGCAGGUGUCCUGGGAGGGCAGAGCCCAAGGCAGCUGGGGGGGUGGGGGCACUUGUGGCCCAGGCCUCGGGGCCACGUCCACCGCGGCCUGUGCUGCUCACCCAGCCCCACCGUGGACGAUGUGCCUGGCGCCUCCCUGGGGCCACACCCCCUGGGCCCUGCUCCCCACUCCCCGCGGGCCCCCCCGUUUCUGCUCCCCUCACGCCCGCCACUCAGCUGUGCCCGUCCGGGUGGGCAGCUGCCGGCAGGACCCGGUCAGACGCCCCCGACCUCCUCUGCCAUCAGAGCCCAGGUGACGACACACGGGCCCUGCCCACCGGCCGCGACCUGGGGGCCCCCCAACCUCUCUCGCCCCUCUGGUCCCACACGGGGAGGCAGGCAGGGAGCAACGGUCCGGGUCUCCACGUCUCUGAAGGCGGGCACGUCCUGGGCCUGGGGCCUUCUGCUCCCUCCAGCCAGGCCGGCCCGGGCCCCAUCCUCCGCCCCUCCCCCCCCACCCCCCCCCCCCGCAGCCUCCAAACUGGCCAAGCUCUGCAAGGUCCCUACAGAGGAGGCCCAGUGUGCAAGACGGUAG